GAUGAACGCUGGCGGCGUGCUUAACACAUGCAAGUCGAACGAAGCGCUUUAGUUGAUUUCUUCGGAUUGAUUCUAAAGUGACUUAGUGGCGGACGGGUGAGUAACGCGUGGGUAACCUGCCUCGUACAGGGGGAUAACAGUUAGAAAUGACUGCUAAUACCGCAUAACCCGCUAAGGUCGCAUGACCUAGACGGAAAGAUUUAUCGGUACGAGAUGGACCCGCGUCUGAUUAGCUAGUUGGUGAGGUAACGGCCCACCAAGGCGACGAUCAGUAGCCGGCCUGAGAGGGUGACCGGCCACAUUGGGACUGAGACACGGCCCAA
rnacentral:rRNA from 1 species